UUGACCAAAGCUCCAUGCAUAACAUCUUUUUCAUAGCAUUACCCAGCUCAAAAGUAGUUCUGGACAUAACGAGCCUGCUUUGCUGCCUUGAUGCAUACAGCUGCUGUGCACCAAGCUGACAUUCAGAACUAUUUAUUAUAACCCCAAGAACUCACUCCUUGUGGUGAAAGGCAACUCAGAGCCUAUGAUUUCAUCUGUGAAUUUAAGACUGUUUCCUCCCAUCUACACAUUUAUCUUCUCAAAAUUUCAUCUGCCACUUUAUCACACACUCAACUCAGCACUGUAAAAUCCUUCUGCAAGUCAUCACAGGCAGCUCCAGUGCACAUUAUGGAUAGCAAAAUUUUGUCACCUAGCUAUUUCCCUUUUUUUCUUCAGGUAAGUUAGAAAUACAGUUGAGAACACAGGGUUUGAUCACUGAUUUUUCUGGGUCAUCGCUGCUGGAAAAUGUUUUCUCCUACCUGUCAACGAUCCAUGGAACAAGCAGGAAACAAUAAUCAAAUAUAGUUCAAGCUUUUACUUUUUCAAUAUUUACUGAACUUGUGGUUGAAGAGAGAAAGUAUUUAUUGCCCUACAGCAUCAGAGGAAAUUUUGUGGACCACAGUCAAUUUCCAGCUCAACAUCUUUUAUUACACAUCCCCUUUGAAGACUCUCUUUGCAAUGGAAAAGGCCACAAGCUUUACAUCACAAGAAAUAAAACACUCAAUAAGUAAUGCGUGCAUGGA